rnacentral:lncRNA from 1 species
AAAUCUUGACCUUUGUCACUUUGUAGUGAUCUUUGGAAGCCAAAGGAGGGAUGACUUCCUUUUGGAAUACCUUUGCCGCCUCCGGUGCCUUUUCUUUCUAAAAGAAAAAUCUGUAACCUCCCUGUAAAUGUAUAUAUGAGGAUUAUUAUGAGUUUAUAUCCUGUGAACUAGGGAAUAUGGGUGAAAUCUUGGGUCCAGUCUCUGCCUGGGUUUGAUCCCCAGUGCUGAUCAGGUCCUAAGAUGGGUGGUGAUAGCACCUUUCUGAAGUUAUUGAAGGUGUAGAGAGAGUGGUUUCAGGAGAGCUGGUGGGUGGUCUUUGAUGUUAGAAAGUCCAUAAACAUCUGAAUGACUCUUAUAUACUGCAUCUAUUGCCUGUCAGUGUAAUGCCUCAGGAAAAUGUAUUUGUUAUUUUCAUAUAACAAAGGCCUAGUGGAUUCUUCCUGUUUCUUCACCCACAUAGGUUCUUCUUAAGACAUUAUUUUAUUUGCAUUUAGGGUGGGGAGGUCUAAUGGGGAUUGAAAUUGACCACUGACACACAUACCCAUCCUGAUUUUGUAUUUUUUUUUUUUUUAGAGAGUGGUUCUCACUGCAUUGUUGAGUGCCUUGCUUUUGCUCAAGCUGGCUUUUUACUUAAGAUCCUUCUGCAUCAGCCUCCUGAGCCACUGGGAUAACAGGCAUGUGCCACUGUGCUUGGCAAC